rnacentral:rRNA from 1 species
GGGGUGCAACACGAGGACUUCCCAGGAGGUCACCCAUCCUAGUACUACUUUCGCCCAAGCACGCUUGACUGCGGAGUUCUGAUGGGAUCCGGUGCAUUAGUGCUGGUAUGAUC